rnacentral:rRNA from 1 species
CCUACGUGCGGCAGCAGUGAGGAAUAUUGGUCAAUGGCCGGAAGGCUGAACCAGCCAUGCCGCGUGAAGGUCAGUGCCCUAUGGGCGUUAAACUUCUUUUGUCGGGGAGCAAAAGCCGGACGUGUCCGGCUGUGAGAGUACCCGAAGAAAAAGCAUCGGCUAACUCCGUGCCAGCAGCCGCGGUAAUACGGAGGAUGCGAGCGUUAUCCGGAUUUAUUGGGUUUAAAGGGUGCGCAGGCGGAUUUUUAAGUCAGCGGUCAAAUCGUGGGGCUCAACCCCAUCCAGCCGUUGAAACUGGGGAUCUAGAGUGUGCGAGAGGUAUGCGGAAUGCGUGGUGUAGCGGUGAAAUGCAUAGAUAUCACGCAGAACCCCGAUUGCGAAGGCAGCAUACCGGUGCACAACUGACGCUCAGGCACGAAAGCGUGGGUAUCGAACAGGAUUAGAUACCCUUGUAGUC